CGGGACAUGGAACAGUUACAGCUCACCGAGGACAUGACCCUAGAUAGGAAGGUCUGGAAGAUGCGAAUUACGGCAGAGGAUUAGGGCCAGUUCGGGUCGCUAGUGUAAGGAAUUAAAAUUGGUGGGGGUGAAUUCCUGUUGAUUCCGUAUUCAAUGUUCCGUGUUCCGUGUUCCAAGUUUAUUACGAACAUGUGUGCUUUCCUCUGCUUUAUAUUCCUGCAUUCAUGCUUUACUCUGUUUUAUAUUCCUUAUGGGUGCCGUAUCUAUGGUAUGUCAUCUGCUUCUGUGCUGUACUAUGUGUUUGUGUGAUAUCUCGUUACUUGAGCCGGGGGUCUUUCGGAAACAGCCUUUCUACCUCAUCAGAGGUAGAGGUAUGGACUGCGUACAUCUUACCCCCCCCAGACCCCACUAAGUG
rnacentral:lncRNA from 1 species